rnacentral:misc_RNA from 1 species
GAAAGAAGAAAGAAGAAGAAGAAAAUGGAUACCUAUGAGGUUUAGACAUCAUAGUCUCCUUUUGGGAUAGGACGUGCAAAGCCAAGAUUGAGCUUCUUGCCUUACCCAAGGUUGAAUUUUAGGCUCUUUUUAUGCCAAUUUUUGCCUCUUCGCGGAAGCUUAAAAACAAAUAUUGCCUCUUUUUUUGCCCCAUAUGGUCCACGAUACCUUUCUGAUGGAGGGUGGUGAGAGGGGAUAAAGCCCACUAUUAUUCUUCAGUUGGAAUCAUUUUUGCUUGAAAACGACAAUUCCUUGAUGGGUCACAGCGAAUUAACCUGUCGCUUUUAACUUCGUCCUUUUUAAGAUUCCUAUUUGCAUGUUUCAUUGAGCAAUCAGCUGCAAUCACAAUCGCCGAUCCCACAUCAACUUCAAUCAAGCCACAGUAUAUAUACCCAUGUCAAGGGUGGCGAUUAAUCAAUCGUGUGAGGCAAUGCAUG